UACGGGGGGAGCAAGCGUUGUUCGGAUUUACUGGGCGUAAAGGGCGCGUAGGCAGUCAGCACAAGUCAGUUGUGGAAUCUCCGGGCUUAACUCGGAAAGGUCAACUGAUACUGUGCGACUAGAGUGCAGAAGGGGCAACUGGAAUUCUCGGUGUAGCGGUGAAAUGCGUAGAUAUCGAGAGGAACACCUGCGGCGAAGGCGGGUUGCUGGGCUGACACUGACGCUGAGGCGCGAAAGCUAGGGGAGCAAACAGG
rnacentral:rRNA from 1 species